GGAAGUAAAAGUCGUAACAAGGUUUCCGUAGGUGAACCUGCGGAAGGAUCAUUAACGAGUUUUUAAUUGUUAGAUUAGAGUUGAGCUGGUUAACUUUGUUAACAUCAGUGCUCGCUUUAGUUGACAAGUCCACUCAUCAUUUAACACUUGUGAACUUAUUCAUUAUAAACAUUAUCAUUUGUUAUUGGAACGUUUGAAUCAUAACAAGUUAAUACAACUUUCAACAACGGAUCUCUUGGUUCUCGCAUCGAUGAAGAACGCAGCGAAAUGCGAUAAGUAAUGUGAAUUGCAGAAUUCAGUGAAUCAUCGAAUCUUUGAACGCACCUUGCGCUCCCUGGUAUUCCGGGGAGCAUGCCUGUUUGAGUGUCGUGAAAUCAUCAUGGUCAUGAUCUUUAAUUAAUCAUGGCUUGGUUUUGGAGGUUAUGUUGGCUUUUUAUUAAGUUGACUCCUCUUAAAUACAUUAGCUCAGUGUUUAAUGCUUAGAGCGGUUCACGGUGUGAUAAUUAUCUACACUUCAACCAAUUUAAGUUAGCUGGCUUCUAAUUGAUCCUUAGUGAUCACUUUGUGUAUUUGACCUCAAAUCAGGUAGGACUACCCGCUGAACUUAAGCAUAUCAAUAAGCGGAGGAAAGGG
rnacentral:rRNA from 1 species